rnacentral:rRNA from 1 species
AGAGUUUGAUCCUGGCUCAGGACGAACGCUGGCGGCGUGCCUAAUACAUGCAAGUCGAGCGAACCUUUGGGAGCUUGCUCCUAAAGGUUAGCGGCGGACGGGUGAGUAACACGUGGGCAACCUGCCUAUAAGACUGGGAUAACUUCGGGAAACCGGAGCUAAUACCGGAUAAUUCUUUUCUACACAUGUAGAAAAGCUAAAAGACGGUUUACGCUGUCACUUAUAGAUGGGCCCGCGGCGCAUUAGCUAGUUGGUGAGGUAACGGCUCACCAAGGCCACGAUGCGUAGCCGACCUGAGAGGGUGAUCGGCCACACUGGGACUGAGACACGGCCCAGACUCCUACGGGAGGCAGCAGUAGGGAAUCUUCCGCAAUGGACGAAAGUCUGACGGAGCAACGCCGCGUGAGUGAUGAAGGUUUUCGGAUCGUAAAACUCUGUUGUUAGGGAAGAACAAGUACGAGAGUAACUGCUCGUACCUUGACGGUACCUAACCAGAAAGCCACGGCUAACUACGUGCCAGCAGCCGCGGUAAUUC